rnacentral:rRNA from 1 species
CUGCGGUAAAUACGUUCCCGGGCCUUGUACACACCGCCCGUCAAGCCAUGGAAGCUGGGGGUACCUGAAGUACGUAACCGCAAGGAGCGUCCUAGGGUAAAACUGGUAACUGGGGCU